UCUGCAACUCGACUGCAUGAAGCUGGAAUCGCUAGUAAUCGCGAAUCAGAAUGUCGCGGUGAAUACGUUCCCGGGCCUUGUACACACCGCCCGUCACACCAUGGGAGUUGGAAGCACCCGAAGUCGGUGACCUGACCGAAAGGGAGGAGCCGCCGAAGGUGAAGCCAGCGACUGGGGUGAAGUCGUAACAAGGUAAC
rnacentral:rRNA from 1 species